rnacentral:rRNA from 1 species
AUACGUAGGUGGCAAGCGUUGUCCGGAAUUAUUGGGCGUAAAGCGCGCGCAGGUGGUUCCUUAAGUCUGAUGUGAAAGCCCCCGGCUCAACCGGGGAGGGUCAUUGGAAACUGGGGAACUUGAGUGCAGAAGAGGAUAGUGGAAUUCCAAGUGUAGCGGUGAAAUGCGUAGAGAUUUGGAGGAACACCAGUGGCGAAGGCGACUGUCUGGUCUGUAACUGACACUGAGGCGCGAAAGCGUGGGGAGCAAACAGGAUUAGAUACCCUGGUAGUCCACGCUGUAAACGAUGAGUGCUAAGUGUUGGGGGGUUUCCGCCCCUCAGUGCUGCAGCUAACGCAUUAAGCACUCCGCCUGGGGAGUACGGUCGCAAGACUGAAACUCAAAGGAAUUGACGGGG